GACGAACGCUGGCGGCGUGCUUAACACAUGCAAGUCGAACGGAAAGGCCCUGCUUUUGUGGGGUGCUCGAGUGGCGAACGGGUGAGUAACACGUGAGUAACCUGCCCUUGACUUUGGGAUAACUUCAGGAAACUGGGGCUAAUACCGGAUAGGAGCUCCUGCUGCAUGGUGGGGGUUGGAAAGUUUCGGCGGUUGGGGAUGGACUCGCGGCUUAUCAGCUUGUUGGUGGGGUAGUGGCUUACCAAGGCUUUGACGGGUAGCCGGCCUGAGAGGGUGACCGGCCACAUUGGGACUGAGAUACGGCCCAGACUCCUACGGGAGGCAGCAGUGGGGAAUAUUGCACAAUGGGCGGAAGCCUGAUGCAGCAACGCCGCGUGCGGGAUGAAGGCCUCGGGUUGUAAACCGCUUUCGCCUGUGACGAAGCGUGAGUGACGGUAAUGGGUAAAGAAGCACCGGCUAACUACGUG
rnacentral:rRNA from 1 species